CUCUAGCAGCAAAACAAAGACUGCAGCGUCUUCUCGAGGCUCUGAAUUCUGGUGACUGUAUCCUAAAAGGAAUGGCAGAUGGGUUCAGAGAUGCGUCCAGUUCCAGGAAGAGGUGGACAUCGCAAUUAGCAUCCAUGAAGCGGCAUAGUCAACUGUCAUUAAAGGAAAAUCAGAUUGAGGGCUGUACGGCAAACCCAGCCAAAGCUACACCUUCCACAGAUGAGGGAACCAGGAGACAAGGAACUUGCCACAGGUCACACAGCAACUGAUUCAUAGAAGAGCCAGACAAGAGCGGAGUCAUUUUGGAAGAGAAUAUCCCCUGCACAGCAAGCUUUACAAAAUGAUCAUCCCUUGUGGAAUGCAAACAAAAUGGCCACCAUUUAUUAAUGUUCACAAGAGUUAUUAUUAUAAAUCCAGAUAUUUUCAUACUCUGUUGAAGCUAUUUAUGUCACGUGAACAGGAUAUCUGCCCAGAGUUACUAAGAAGCAGCCUUAAGUACAACAUAAGCCUCUAGGUCCUGUCAAAAAUAACUGGGAGCACUUUGUCUUCUGGGCUGGAAGGGUAGGCAAGAUUUACAGUGAAUGCUGCCACAAUAACCAAUGACCG
rnacentral:lncRNA from 1 species